GGACUACAUUGGCGUGCUCUACUUGCUUGGCGUUGGACCACUGGCUCUGCAGCCGGCGCAGGGCAUCUUCUGUGUUAACGCCGUCGCGCUCCGUUAUUCUUGACACUGCCUGAGAGGGGAAACAAGAGGAGGCAGGUACAAACAUAUUACCUCCUCCUCGGGGAUGAUGGUGACCCAGACCUCGUGGACCAUGUCUGUCCAGCCAGCCUCCAGGAGGACUGCUGCAUCCACCACACAAACCUGUUUACCUGCAAAGAGCAAAGGAAUACAUGAACACAAGGAAAAUCUCUUGUAAUCCAUGCAUGUGUCAAUAAGUUCAGUAGCCAAACUAAAAGCAAAGGGUAGGCCUACUGUCUUUUUAGGAUUUGUUUGCAUAUACACUGUAGCUAAAGUGUUAAGCCUCAUUUUUCAGUAAUCACUUUUAAAAAAGUAAAACAAAUGAACACUGAAAUAAUUUCCAAUUUCCCCAAAAACUGUUGAAACAUGUGGCAUGCUACAUGUACACUGGUAUGAACAUAAAAACUAUUUUACUGUAAUAAAAGACAGAAAAGGGUCAUGUUUACCAGCAAAAAGUGAUUACUGAAACUACAGUACUAAGAUUAUAAUUAAUAAAAGUAAGUAAAUACAAUA